rnacentral:lncRNA from 1 species
GAUACAAAGUCUUUGAAGGCGAUACCUACAAAUAAUAUUUUUCAAAUGGUAUGCAAAAUCUGAUACCAGUGAGGGCAUGAAUGAUUUAAAAAAGGAAAAGAUAAAAUUGUAAUGACCUCUCCAUCUUGCCCGUCCUCCUGCUUCCAAGUUCAUCACCAUCUAUCUCUGUGAUGUCUCAAUAGAUCUUUGAUUCAUGUUGCGGCAG